ACGCUCGACACCUACGGGAGCAGCAGUCGGGAAUAUUGCGCAAUGGAGGAAACUCUGACGCAGUGACGCCGCGUGCAGGAAGAAGGUUUUCGGAUUGUAAACUGCUUUAGACAGGGAAGAAAAAGGACAGUACCUGUAGAAUAAGCUCCGGCUAACUACGUGCCAGCAGCCGCGGUAAUCUGAGCGGGCUGGCAAGGC
rnacentral:rRNA from 1 species